rnacentral:rRNA from 1 species
CAAUAGCGUAUAUUAAAGUUGUUGCAGUUAAAAAGCUCGUAGUUGGAUUUCUGGUGGGAGCGAUCGGUCUGGCGCUUAGCGCGAGUACUUGCAUCGUCUCCGGCCAUCCUUGGGGAGAGUCUGUCUGGCAUUAAGUUGUCGGGCAGAGGAUCCUCAUCGUUUACUGUGAAAAAAUUAGAGUGUUCAAAGCAGGCUUAUGCCGUUGAAUAUAUUAGCACGGAAUAAUAAGAUAGGACUUUGGUACUAUUUUGUUGGUUUGCGCACCAAAGUAAUGAUUAAUAGGGACAGUUGGGGGUAUUCGUAUUCCGUCGUCAGAGGUGAAAUUCUUGGAUUUACGGAAGACGAACUACUGCGAAAGCAUUUACCAAGGAUGUUUUCAUUAA